GGAGGCUACUGUGGAGGGGGUGGCGUGUUGUGAUGUGAAGUGAAUGACAAGACUGCUAAAGGGGAACUAAAGCCUUUCCACAGAAAGACGCUGGCUGCAAAAACAAAAACAAAAAAAGCAUAAUUAGGAUAACCUACAUGUAAACCAUUGACAAAGAAAUAACAUUAUGGAAAGAGACAAAUAAAGAAUGUGCUUGCACAAAGGCGCUCCGGGUCUGCAUUAAAUGACCAAUUUAUAAUUGCACUUUGUGCAGCCUUCACAGCGAAGUUUAAAUUGGAAUGUGAGUGCACAUGCACAUGAAGAUAAAAGUUUUAUUGCUAGACUAAUAAAUCGGCGACAGUGAAUAAAAAAAAAAAACAUUGGAGGCGUUAACAUCCUACAUGGGCGGAUUGUGCAAUAGUUCUUCAACCUAAAUCGAAAACCGUGGACGCAACCUGCGUCUUAAGUUUCGUUGCUGUUUCAAUUGUGUGAUAAUAGUUCAGUAAGUACUUCUGCAUACCUUUUCUACUUGUUUGCAUGCCACUUUGUCGUUCUGAUAUGUUUUGCAAAGAGGUAUUUUAUUCGAUGAAAAACUUAAUCCAUCUCGCUGGUGAGAAAUCGAAAGUAACUAGACGAUAAUAGUUACAUAAAGUCCGCUUAGGCGUUAACUUUUUCAAGGAAAGAGCUGACAUUAGCCCAACCUUCUCAACCGAAUCUUUCUCAGAGGACGUUUAUCGCAACAGCUGACUUUAGUGGGCUUUACAUCACAGUGUCAGAGCUCUGCCAGACGCGUCGGUAAGCAUGGAAUACUGUCGAAUCGCUCCAUUCGUCAACAGAACACACGGUGGCCUUAGUGCAACGGCCUGCAAUUGACGCGAAAUGAAUAUCCGAUCUAGCUUUUCUUUUAACCUAUGUGCAGUUAAUCUUUUGGAUAAAAAUAACCACAUCCUACAAGUCUGUUAAUGAUUUUUAAUUUCAACUUAAAGAGUCUACAGUGAAUAGAUGGAUGUGUUUUGUAGGCCUAAUUCAGGUGUUGGGUAAUACUGGUGUAUUUUUCUUUUAUUCUUACAGAUGAGUACUGAAAGCAACUGAACAAGAUACAAGACUUCAGCAAUGGAAAGGUAAUAUUACAUAGUAUGUUAUUGUCGGGUGACAGAGACGUAUGGAAGGCGGAGUUUAUUCAGAAUCAGACAAAGCCAGGGGGAAAAACAGGGAUAAAACACCAAAGCAACACAGGACGCAAAGCUCAGAAGUUGAAAAGUGUCAAAACGUGAACGCGCAGAAGUUAAACGGGAAAACUAUGAACAAACGUAAAGUGGAAUCGCAACACAGGAGCUAUCGGCGCAGGAGCGCUUGAGGAAACAAAACGACAGAGUGUCGAGGCGGAGUUCAGUUCAGUUCAGUUCAGUUCAGUUCAGUUCAGUUCAGUUCAGUUGUAUCGUAAGGUAGGAAAUCCUUAAAUGAUUCGCUGGAGUAGUCGUCGGGGACCGGUAUCUAGCACGGGGUGUAGUUUCGACGAGGAGUGAGGAGUUUAUAUGGAGAUCGUGACAGGUGCAGGCAAUCAGGGGAUUUGGAAGAGGAUUGGGCUCUCCUCUGACCCAGGAUCAGUCCAGGUGUGGAGUGUGUGAGCAGGUACUGAGGGACCCAGUCAUCACCACCUGUGGAC
ensembl:lncRNA